rnacentral:rRNA from 1 species
GACGAACGCUGGCGGCGUGCUUAACACAUGCAAGUCGAACGGAAAGGCCCUGCUUUUGUGGGGUGCUCGAGUGGCGAACGGGUGAGUAACACGUGAGUAACCUGCCCUUGACUUUGGGAUAACUUCAGGAAACUGGGGCUAAUACCGGAUAGGAGCUCCUGCUGCAUGGUGGGGGUUGGAAAGUUUCGGCGGUUGGGGAUGGACUCGCGGCUUUCCAGCUUGUUGGUGGGGUAGUGGCUUACCAAGGCUUUGACGGGUAGCCGGCCUGAGAGGGUGACCGGCCACAUUGGGACUGAGAUACGGCCCAGACUCCUACGGGAGGCAGCAGUGGGGAAUAUUGCACAAUGGGCGGAAGCCUGAUGCAGCAACGCCGCGUGCGGGAUGACGGCCUUCGGGUUGUAAACCGCUUUCGCCUGUGACGAAGCGUGAGUGACGGUAAUGGGUAAAGAAGCACCGGCUAACUACGUG